UGAAAUGAGAGUAUUAGAGGUCAGUGA
rnacentral:piRNA from 1 species